UCUUCAUGUUUCUCAAACUCAUGCAUCUGCUGGGACUCAUAGACAUUACUGAGACAGAGACAGCAGUGACAGUGACCUUGAGCUGUCCACGGUGCGGCAUCAGCCCGAGGGUCUGGAGCAGUUGCAGGCACAGACCAAAUUCACCAAGAAGGAGCUGCAGUCCCUAUAUAGGGGCUUUAAAAAUGAGUGCCCAAGUGGUUUGGUUGAUGAGGAAACUUUCAAGACCAUCUACUCCCAAUUCUUUCCCCAAGGCGAUGCCACCACAUACGCCCAUUUUCUGUUUAACGCAUUUGAUCUUGACAGAAAUGGCUCGAUCCGUUUUGAGGAUUUUGUGAUUGGUCUGUCCGUGUUGCUGAGAGGAACAGUCACUGAAAAGCUCAACUGGGCUUUCAACCUUUACGACAUCAACAAGGAUGGAUACAUCACUAAAGAGGAGAUGCUGUUAAUUAUGAAGUCAAUCUACGACAUGAUGGGAAGGUACACAUACCCCAGUGUGCGAGACGAAGCUCCAUCUGAACAUGUGGAAAAGUUCUUUCAGAAAAUGGACAGAAAUCGAGACGGUGUGGUCACUAUUGAAGAGUUUAUUGAGACCUGUCAGAAAGAUGAAAACAUCAUGAACUCCAUGCAGCUCUUUGAAAAUGUGAUAUAGCCCGAAAAUGGAUCACGGUAAAGCUGAAACAGCCGUCAACGUCCUAAAACCAGAUCUCUCUAUCUGUCUAUAUACCAAACUAGCACAGCAGUCACUCUCUGUUUUGUCCUGUAGCACUAAUCCCAUGCCUGCUGCACUCUGUAGAAAACUAUAGACCAACACUUAGCCUGCAAUAUGGCGUCACAAUUUAUACUUCACAGCGGGACUACUAGCCAAGC
ensembl:processed_transcript kcnip3a Kv channel interacting protein 3a, calsenilin